UACGUAGGGUGCAAGCGUUAUCCGGAAUUAUUGGGCGUAAAGAGCUCGUAGGCGGUUUGUCGCGUCUGCUGUGAAAACUGGAGGCUCAACCUCCAGCCUGCAGUGGGUACGGGCAGACUAGAGUGCGGUAGGGGAGAUUGGAAUUCCUGGUGUAGCGGUGGAAUGCGCAGAUAUCAGGAGGAACACCGAUGGCGAAGGCAGAUCUCUGGGACCGUAACUGACGCUGAGGAGCGAAAGCAUGGGGAGCGAACAGG
rnacentral:rRNA from 1 species